rnacentral:rRNA from 1 species
UCCGGAGGGCGCUAGCGUUGUUCGGAAUUACUGGGCGUAAAGCGCACGUAGGCGGCUCAGCAAGUCAGGGGUGAAAUCCCGGGGCUCAACCCCGGAACUGCCCUUGAAACUGCUAAGCUAGAAUCUUGGAGAGGCGAGUGGAAUUCCGAGUGUAGAGGUGAAAUUCGUAGAUAUUCGGAAGAACACCAGUGGCGAAGGCGACUCGCUGGACAAGUAUUGACGCUGAGGUGCGAAAGCGUGGGGAGCAAACAGG